UACGUAGGGUGCAAGCGUUGUCCGGAAUUAUUGGGCGUAAAGAGCUCGUAGGCGGUCUGUCGCGUCGGCUGUGAAAACCCGAGGCUCAACCUCGGGCCUGCAGUCGAUACGGGCAAACUAGAGUACUGCAGGGGAGACUGGAAUUCCUGGUGUAGCGGUGAAAUACGCAGAUAUCAGGAGGAACACCGGUGGCGAAGGCGGGUCUCUGGGCAGUAACUGACGCUGAGGAGCGAAAGCGUGGGGAGCGAACAGG
rnacentral:rRNA from 1 species